UACGGGAGGCAGCAGUAGGGAAUAUUGGGCAAUGGAGGCAACUCUGACCCAGCCAUGCCGCGUGCAGGAUGAAGGCGUUAUGCGUUGUAAACUGCUUUUAUAUAGGAAGAAAUAGACCUUGCGAGGUAAGUUGACGGUACUAUAUGAAUAAGCACCGGCUAACUCCGUGCCAGCAGCCGCGGUAAUACGGAGGGUGCAAGCGUUGUCCGGAUUUAUUGGGUUUAAAGGGUGCGUAGGCGGUUUAUUAAGUCAGUGGUGAAAGACGGUCGCUCAUCGAUUGCAGUGCCAUUGAUACUGGUAGACUUGAGUGAGAUUGAGGUAGCUGGAAUGGAUAGUGUAGCGGUGAAAUGCAUAGAUAUUAUCCAGAACACCAAUUGCGUAGGCAAGUUACUAAGUCUCAACUGACGCUGAGGCACGAAAGUGUGGGUAUCAAACGAGGAUUAGAUACCCUGGUAGUCCACACUGUAAACGAUGAUAACUAACUGUUGGCUUUCGGGUCAGUGGACAGAGAAAUCGUUAAGUUU
rnacentral:rRNA from 1 species